GGCUCAGAUUGAACGCUGGCGGCAUGCUUUACACAUGCAAGUCGAACGGCAGCGCGGGGCAACCUGGCGGCGAGUGGCGAACGGGUGAGUAAUACAUCGGAACGUACCCAGAAGUGGGGGAUAACGUAGCGAAAGUUACGCUAAUACCGCAUACGUUCUACGGAAGAAAGUGGGGGACCUUCGGGCCUCAUGCUUUUGGAGCGGCCGAUGUCUGAUUAGCUAGUUGGUGAGGUAAAGGCUCACCAAGGCGACGAUCAGUAGCUGGUCUGAGAGGACGACCAGCCACACUGGGACUGAGACACGGCCCAGACUCCUACGGGAGGCAGCAGUGGGGAAUUUUGGACAAUGGGCGCAAGCCUGAUCCAGCAAUGCCGCGUGAGUGAAGAAGGCCUUCGGGUUGUAAAGCUCUUUUGUCAGGGAAGAAACGGCUUGGGUUAAUACCUUGGGCUAAUGACGGUACCUGAAGAAUAAGCACCGGCUAACUACGUGCCAGCAGCCGCGGUAAUACGUAGGGUGCAAGCGUUAAUCGGAAUUACUGGGCGUAAAGCGUGCGCAGGCGGUUUUGUAAGUCUGACGUGAAAUCCCCGGGCUCAACCUGGGAAUUGCGUUGGAGACUGCAAGGCUGGAGUCUGGCAGAGGGGGGUAGAAUUCCACGUGUAGCAGUGAAAUGCGUAGAGAUGUGGAGGAACACCGAUGGCGAAGGCAGCCCCCUGGGUCAAGACUGACGCUCAUGC
rnacentral:rRNA from 1 species